AUUGAACGCUGGCGGCAGGCCUAACACAUGCAAGUCGAGCGGAUGAAGGGAGCUUGCUCCUGGAUUCAGCGGCGGACGGGUGAGUAAUGCCUAGGAAUCUGCCUGGUAGUGGGGGAUAACGUCCGGAAACGGGCGCUAAUACCGCAUACGUCCUGAGGGAGAAAGUGGGGGAUCUUCGGACCUCACGCUAUCAGAUGAGCCUAGGUCGGAUUAGCUAGUUGGUGGGGUAAAGGCCUACCAAGGCGACGAUCCGUAACUGGUCUGAGAGGAUGAUCAGUCACACUGGAACUGAGACACGGUCCAGACUCCUACGGGAGGCAGCAGUAGGGAAUAUUCGACAAUGGGCGAAAGCCUGAUCCAGCCAUGCCGCGUGUGUGAAGAAGGUCUUCGGAUUGUAAAGCACUUUUAGUUGGGAGGAAGAACAGUAAGUUAAUCCCUUGCUGUUUUGACGUUACCAACAGAAUAAGCACCGGCUAACUACGUG
rnacentral:rRNA from 1 species